rnacentral:rRNA from 1 species
CAGUCGCCGCGGGAAUACGUAGGUGGCAAGCGUUGUCCGGAAUUAUUGGGCGUAAAGCGCGCGCAGGUGGUUUAAUAAGUCUGAUGUGAAAGCCCACGGCUCAACCGUGGAGGGUCAUUGGAAACUGUUAAACUUGAGUGCAGGAGAGAAAAGUGGAAUUCCUAGUGUAGCGGUGAAAUGCGUAGAGAUUAGGAGGAACACCAGUGGCGAAGGCGGCUUUUUGGCCUGUAACUGACACUGAGGCGCGAAAGCGUGGGGAGCAAACAGGAUUAGAUACCCGGGUAGUCCCUGUCUCUUAUAC